rnacentral:tRNA from 1 species
GGGUCGUUAGCUCAGUUGGUAGAGCAGUUGACUUUAAUUGGUCGCAGGUUCGGGACUCACGCAGUGAGACAACGGAGCCGCUUGCGGCGACGGCCCGAAGGGCGAGCGAAGCGAGUCAUCCUGCACGACCCACCA